CCUACGGGUGGCAGCAGUGAGGAAUAUUGGUCAAUGGACGAGAGUCUGAACCAGCCAAGUAGCGUGAAGGAUGACUGCCCUAUGGGUUGUAAACUUCUUUUAUAUGGGAAUAAAAUGUUCCACGUGUGGGAUUUUGUAUGUACCAUAUGAAUAAGGAUCGGCUAACUCCGUGCCAGCAGCCGCGGUAAUACGGAGGAUCCGAGCGUUAUACGGAUUUAUUGGGUUUAAAGGGAGCGUAGGUGGAUUGUUAAGUCAGUUGUGAAAGUUUGCGGCUCAACCGUAAAAUUGCAGUUGAAAAUGGCAGUCUUGAGUACAGUAGAGGUGGGCGGAAUUCGUGGUGUAGCGGUGAAAUGCUUAGAUAUCACGAAGAACUCCGAUUGCGAAGGCAGUUCACUGGACUGCAACUGACACUGAGGCUCGAAAGUGUUGGUAUCAAACAGGUUUAGAUACCCGUGUAGUC
rnacentral:rRNA from 1 species